UUUUGGAUGAUGAUAAAAAUCAAUAAGAUUCCUUUGAUUUCAAUGAAAUUACAACUAACUACUUUUGCACAUAA